rnacentral:rRNA from 1 species
UACGUAGGGGGCAAGCGUUGUCCGGAUUUAUUGGGCGUAAAGAGCGUGUAGGCGGCCUGACAAGUCUGCUGUGAAAACUCGAGGCUCAACCUCGAGAUGUCGGCGGAAACUGUCUGGUUAGAGUCCGGAAGAGGAGAGUGGAAUUCCUGGUGUAGCGGUGAAAUGCGCAGAUAUCAGGAAGAACACCUAUGGCGAAGGCAGCUCUCUGGGACGGUACUGACGCUGAGACGCGAAAGCGUGGGGAGCGAACAGG